rnacentral:rRNA from 1 species
GACGAACGCUGGCGGCGUGCUUAACACAUGCAAGUCGAACGGAAAGGCCCUGCUUUUGUGGGGUGCUCGAGUGGCGAACGGGUGAGUAACACGUGAGUAACCUGCCCUUGACUUUGGGAUAACUUCAGGAAACUGGGGCUAAUACCGGAUAGGAGCUCCUGCUGCAUGGUGGGGGUUGGAAAGUUUCGGCGGGUGGGGUUGGACUCGCGGCUUAUCAGCUUGUUGGUGGGGUAGUGGCUUACCAAGGCUUUGGCGGGUAGCCGGCCUGGGAGGGUGACCGGCCACAUUGCUACUGAGAUACGGCCCAGAGGCCUACGGGAGGCAGCAGGGGGGAAUAUUGCACAAUGAGCGGAAGUGUGAUGCAGCAGCGCCGCGUGCGGGAUGAAGGCCUGUGGGUUGUAAACCGCUUUUGCCUGUGACGAAGCGUGAAUGACGGUAAUGGAUAAAGAAGCACCGGCUAACUACGUG